rnacentral:rRNA from 1 species
CUCAGAACGAACGCUGGUGGCGUGUCUUAUACAUGCAAGUCGAGCGAGGCAGCAAUGCCGAGCGGCGAACGGGUGAGUAACGCGUAAGCAAUCUGCCCCAUAUCAGGAAAUACCCGUGCCAACGCGCGGUUAAUGUCCAGGAGAGUGGCCUUCCGCAUGGAAGGUUGACUAGAGAUUUAUCGGUAUGGGAUGAGCUUGCGUCCGAUUAGCUAGUUGGCGGGGCAACGGCCCACCAAGGCGACGAUCGGUAGCCGGCCUGAGAGGGUGAUCGGCCACAUUGGGACUGAGAUACGGCCCAGACUCCUACGGGAGGCAGCAGUAGGGAAUAUUGCACAAUGGGGGAAACCCUGAUGCAGCAACGCCACGUGUGGGAAGAAGCAUUUCGGUGUGUAAACCACUGUCAUGAGGGAAUAAGGCCCGCCUUCGGACGGGAUUGAAUGUACCUUGAGAGGAAGCACCGGCAAACUUCGUGCCAGCCGCCGC